rnacentral:lncRNA from 1 species
GGAGCCUCUGUCUCUGGAGGCAGAGGCUCAAUGUCAUAGGGUGGUCACAGAGUUAUCAUUUUUAGGGGUGUGGUGGGGUGGGACUGUUGUUGAAGUAAAAGGAGGAGGGUUAGACCUGCCCAACUAGAGGUUUCUUCUAGUUUUUAUAUUUUUAAGACAGUUUAUUAUUAUGUGGCCAAUGAACCAGCAGGUGGCACUACACAACAAUUUUACACAGGCAAAAAUAAGGUCCCUUAGGGCGAAAAAGAUGAUGUUUUCUCAAAUGGGACCUUUGGAAGGAUAUGGACCUGUACAACAUGCACGCCUACCGGGGAAAAAGGACUGAAAAUAGUUGUUCGAAUAGGAUGCCCUUCACCCCGGCUUAACACCAUGCAUGUGCCAUGCAUGUAUACAGUGAAACAGAACAGUGAGUGAGAGACACAAUCCCUACCUUCACCACUGAGUGGAAUUCAGACAAGAAGGAGGCAAUAAUGUAGCUGUGGGAGGAGAAGCACAAGGAGAAUGUGAUCAACACUACUCUGACAAUUUACACAAACAAGAAGUGACCACUUUAAAGAUGGAAUGCCAAGAACAAUACAAUAAAUGCUAAAGAGAAAGAGUGACAAAAGUGAGCAACUACAGAUAAUGCAGUCAUGGAACCAGAAAAAGAGGUUUGCAGCCUUACAUCAGGGGAAGGAUUUUGGCAGGUGUCUGAAAAUGUGUCUCGAAACAUCUCUGUAGACAAGACUGAGAAAGGUUCUGAAAAACUGCCUGCAAAAUGGCUGAUUUCAGCUGAGUGUAGGAAAGAGCUUUUUGGCAUGACACUGACCCACAACCACAGUCCGCGUGGGCUGUGCAUGUGGACGGAUGGUGGCAAUGGAGGACAAGUCGCUUGACUAAGGGGAUGGCUUCACUGUGUGUUACAUGUUGCCCAAGGUUUGUCAAUACUGAUUUCAGGGGUCAUGCAUCUAAGACUCUGAAAACUGGUAUCAAAUCAUUUAGACACGACUGAAAAGAAGGAGGGGAUUGAAAACUCAUCUCUGUUUUAUGCCAUAAAAACUAUUCUCUUUCUUUAAGUAUUAUAGACGUGAUCCUAAGGAAGACAGAAGCCACAGACACACUUUGAUUUUGGAGUCACAGAAAACUCUGAAUCCCUUUAAGAACUCAUGUGAUACUAAAGACACCAAGAACAACAAGGACUCUCAGAGCUUCUGGUAGAGGGUUCAACCGGCACUGAUGGAACUCUUGGGGAUCCCUGCAGACAAUCUAUGAAAAUCUUCCAGAACUACUAUUUCCAGAAAGACACUCUGGGAAAUACAGCUUUUGACUGAUAAGGAAAAGAAAUUGAGAUGCAUGUUACACCCUCCCAAAGUCUGAAAACCC